GACGCAUCUAGUGAUUUUAAAAAGAUUGGCCAGCGCAUCUUUGUUUUUAUUAUUGGUGGAGCCACUCGGUCUGAGCUUCGUGUAGUGCAUAAACUCUCUUCUAAGCUCAAUAGGGAAAUUAUCCUUGGUUCAACUAGUCUCGAUGAUCCCGCGCAGUUUAUUACGAAACUGAAGUUGCUCUCUGCUGAAGAUAUAUCACUGGAUGGCCUUCAGAUAUAACUCUCGUCUCUCCUGUGUCAGUAAUCAUCCUGUUUUUUAGAUUCUUUUAUCUUUCCCUAAAAUUAAGAAUCUUGUUCAGAUUUAUAGUAUCAGGAAGUAAGUAGUUUCCAUGAGCAACACAUUUUUAAGGAAUUAAAUAGUAAAUAGUUACAUGUACAAUGAAUUAUGGCAUUAUCUAUAAACAGUUUAGUUUCCAGGUAUAUGGGCCAUGGGGAUUGAAAUGGAGAGUAUGGCUGAGAAAAUUUUACCUGCAAUGUACUUUAUAGGUUUUUAAAUACCACAUUAUAUAUGCCAUGCUUUAAAUUUUCUUAA